rnacentral:rRNA from 1 species
GACGAACGCUGGCGGCGUGCCUAAUACAUGCAAGUCGAACGCAGUGGGGACGGGUGAGUAACACGUUGGUAACCUCCCAUCAGAGGGGAUAACACUUGGCAACAGGUGCUAAACCGAUACUGAUGGAUGGACCCGCGGUGCAUUAGCUAGUUGGUGAGGUAACGGCGCACCAAGGCCACGAUGCAUAGCCGAGCUGAGAGGGUAAUCGGCAACACUGGGACUGAGAAACGGCCCAGACUCCGACGGAAGGUAGCAGUAGGGAAUCUUAGGCAAUGGACGAAAGUCUGACCGAGCGACGCCGCGUGAGUGAAGAAGGUAGUCGGAGCGUAGAACUCUGUUGAUAGAUAAGCGGUAUCUAGCCAAAAAGCCACGGCUAACUACGUGCCAUCAGCCGCGGUAAUUC